GUUUCGGGUCGUAGUUUGCUCUGGGAGCCGGCGAGGCUCUGGGGCGGGCCGUUGACCUGUUCUCGCUCUCAGCCCGAGCUCCUGGGACGGUGCCGCGCGCCGGGCGUCAGUGUAGGACAGAUGCACAUAGGCCAAGGACAAAAGCACGUCUACUGGCAACCGCAGCACUGCAGAGAAGUGCGGCUAAAACAGCGCUGGGGGGGCUCUGCCCCUUCUGCUGGCGGCUCCGCGGCGGAGGGCCGGUGGCUGCGGAGACGCAGUCCUUACCCCACGACCGGGAAGCAGAUGCUACACCGCGCGGCAGCGUUGGUGCUGGUGAGGAGGACCGCGUGCAUGCUGUUUUCUUUGCCCUCUUAAUUUUCUCAGUGAAACACAAAACACAGUAAGAAUAGCACCGAGGAGAAUUUUGGGGACACAGUGAACAUUCAUAAAUACAAAUGUUUUUGUUAAUCUAACAAAGGCCCGCGCUGUAUCACGUGCCACGAAGGAGCCGAGGUGCUGCACAGGGAGGUGCUGCCUGUUCUGUAGGCUGCUGCCCCUAAGCGAGCCGCCCUUGGGAGCUCUGUCCUGGCUCUGCUUCAGCACUGCUUGACCUCCCGUCUUCUCCGCAGGAUGGGCCCUGGAGCCUGCAGUGUCCCAAGUGGAGUGCUGCCUGCAUGUCACACGUGAAGCAUCUACAGAUACAUGAGCAGUAACUCUCUGACCAGGACGGAAUGACCUCUCCAUGGGCACCGGUGGACACGCCGGUGAUAGGAUCCCCACUUAAAUCUCCGUGGCCCUCCAGGGACCUCCUCAAAGACUGGAGAUGGCUCUGGACCCAGGAUUUUCUGGGCUACCUCACGCAAAUGGUGUUCUCACGUGUGCACAGCUCCGGAGUUCCGAUUUUCCAAAGGUGACCCAACCAUCACAUCAUGAAAGCCAUCCACCCUGACGGAUCAAAGAGUUGCAAACGCUGAAUGAAACCAAGCAUCUCUGACACCCUGGGGGCCUUCUGGAAAUCGGUGCCGGCUCCCAAGGCCCUUUGUGACAGGAAACAGGCAGACUCCUCCUCUUUCAGGUCGUUCACGUACACUGGCGCACCUGCCAACGCACACCUGUACUGAUGUCUUUAUCCACAGCGCCUGAACCCAGCACGCUACCCAAACAGGAGCUAAUCUGGUCGCCUCCGUGAGCCUGAAUGACUGCAGGUGGCCACUCUCGUUAGCACCCUUUGUCCGAGCAGCGCCAGCAGCAGGAGCUGAAGCCACAGAGUAACCCAAAGGGCGUGCUGUCUGCGGGCUUCCAGCAUGUUCCGGUGGGACUCUGACGUCGAGCCGUGCCGGUGAGAAGCUUCAGGUGCGGUCUAAUGGAAAGCGAGUCAGCUCAGUCCCCACCGUCAAGUUUACCUGGGGCUCCCGUGGGGACCUAGGCACCUCAAGUCCAAGGGGGACGCCCGGACCUCCUCGUUCGUGGGUGUUCCUCUCUUUCUACCGCAUGAGAGGCGCUUGGCUUUUAUUGUUUCUCUUCCUUUUUGGCCUCCCCACGGAGUUCCAGAGCCAGGCACUGAAUCUAAGCUGCAGCGGAGACCAACUCUGCAUGUGUGGCAAUGACGGCUCCGUGACCACUGUGCUGGGCCGGGGAUUGAACCUGCAUCCCUGCUGUUGCAGAGACACCAUGGCUCCCUUUGUGCCACAGCAAAUCGUCUUUUCUUCUUAAGUUUUAGCCCAGGGCCCUCUGCUGUCUGAGGCCCUUCCACCUUACGACCCUGGGCAACGAGCAUGCUGGUCCUUGUGGUCUGGUUGAGGAGCAGAAACGGCUGUGGUGGGAAGGGGAGCAGAGGCCACGGAUGUCGGAGAGCCUGGACCAGCUGGAGGGUCCUGGCGGCUGGAGGUGCGGCCAGGAGGCCCGGGCCCUGCGGGUCCUGCUGGCGGGCGGAUCUCCCUCCCUCCUGAGCGGUAGGGCUGAGCGCUGGCUGGUGGCGAAACGUGCUCCCUGAGCCCAGAGUCCGCAUCUCCAAACGUUCCUCUUUGCUGAAUUUUGCUGCUCUGACAAAUGGCUCCGCAGCUCCAGGGGCACGAAGCAAAAGCUUAUCUCCUGCUCAGUCCCCGUGGCCCUCUUGCACUGGACGAGGGCCCGAGAAGCCUUGCUCAUCUCUUGUCUCAGCCCAAGAAGCCUACUGUGAGUGGAGCCUGGCAAAGGCAGAUGCUAAGCCCCGUGGCUGCUCUUCCCAAACUGCUGAGAGGGCAGAAGGACACCGCCCAACACAUGGACGGUGUGCAGGAAGCCGCCUUCAUUCCGGAAAGACCACCACCAGACCGCCAGACACCAGCUUGGAAGACAACGCCAGCUCACCAAUCCCCGAUCCUUAUCUGCAGCCCCGUUCUUCUCCCCCAGUCUCUCCUGAGGGGGCAUGGUCUUUGAGGCAUGAGCCUGCUGUAACUCUCCUUUGCCUGGUAAAGCAAUAAAGCUGUUUUUUCUCCUUCGCC
ensembl:lncRNA